AUUGAACGCUGGCGGCAUGCCUUACACAUGCAAGUCGAACGGCAGCACGGGAGCAAUCCUGGUGGCGAGUGGCGAACGGGUGAGUAAUGUAUCGGAACGUACCUUUCAGUGGGGGAUAACGUAGCGAAAGUUACGCUAAUACCGCAUAUUCUGUGAGCAGGAAAGCAGGGGAUCGCAAGACCUUGCGCUGAUUGAGCGGCCGAUAUCAGAUUAGCUAGUUGGUGAGGUAAAGGCUCACCAAGGCGACGAUCUGUAGCGGGUCUGAGAGGAUGAUCCGCCACACUGGAACUGAGACACGGUCCAGACUCCUACGGGAGGCAGCAGUGGGGAAUUUUGGACAAUGGGCGCAAGCCUGAUCCAGCCAUGCCGCGUGAGUGAAGAAGGCCUUCGGGUUGUAAAGCUCUUUCGGCCGGGAAGAAAUCGUGUGGGUUAAUACCCUGCAUGGAUGACGGUACCGGAAUAAGAAGCACCGGCUAACUACGUGCCAGCAGCCGCAGUAA
rnacentral:rRNA from 1 species